CAGUAGCCGCGGUAAUACGUAGGGUGCGAGCGUUAAUCGGAAUUACUGGGCGUAAAGCGUGCGCAGGCGGUUAUAUAAGACAGAUGUGAAAUCCCCGGGCUCAACCUGGGAACUGCAUUUGAGACUGUAUGGCUAGAGUGUGUCAGAGGGGGGUAGAAUUCCACGUGUAGCAGUGAAAUGCGUAGAUAUGUGGAGGAAUACCGAUGGCGAAGGCAGCCCCCUGGGAUAACACUGACGCUCAUGCACGAAAGCGUGGGGAGCAAACAGGAUUAGAGACCCCCGUAGUCCCUGUCUCUUAUAC
rnacentral:rRNA from 1 species